rnacentral:rRNA from 1 species
UACGUAGGGGGCAAGCGUUGCUCGGAAUCACUGGGCGUAAAGCGCACGUAGGCGGAUCUUUAAGUCAGGGGUGAAAUCCCAAGGCUCAACCUUGGAACUGCCUUUGAUACUGGGGAUCUCGAGUCCGGAAGAGGUGAGUGGAACUGCGAGUGUAGAGGUGAAAUUCGUAGAUAUUCGCAAGAACACCAGUGGCGAAGGCGGCUCACUGGUCCGGUACUGACGCUGAGGUGCGAAAGCGUGGGGAGCAAACAGG